AUGGAUGAAUCAAUUGAUAUGAGUGAUGCUCUGGCACAUGCUUCCAACCCAGAUGACAACAUAAGGUCAAUAGGAGAAGGCAUGCUAAAGCGGCUCCAUAAUCUUGAUCUUCCCAACUUCCUCCUACGACUAUCAUCUGAGCUCUUGAGGGAGGGGAGUCCAGAAGAGUCUAGGGUACUUGCUGCCAUCACCCUUAAGAACUCAUUGGACUCAAAGGAUCCUGCACUCAAGGAUGCGCACGAGGAUCUACUUUCUCUAAAAUGGCUCAACCUCCAUCCCUCAAUCCGAUCCGAGAUUAAAACGAACUUGCUCAUGACACUAGAAUCUGAUUCAACGCAAUCUCAUUCAAGGCGCCCCUCAUCAAAAGUUAUUGCAAAAGUUAUUGCUAGAGUUGCAUGCAUGGAGAUACCCCGGAAUCAAUGGCUGGACCUUGUUGGUAAAUUAGUGGACAACAUGGCAAGUUCAUCUUCUUCCCUGAAGCAAGCAACUCUAGAGGUGCUGGAGUAUAUCUUCGAGGAGAAGAUCCCUAAAGUUCUUAAGGGGAAUCAAGUGGAUGAUGUUAUGGCUUGUGUCAUCAAUGCAUUGAAGAACCAAGUUCUAAGUUCUGAAGUCCAUCUGGCAGCCCUUAAAGUUCUACUCAACAUUCUUGAGUUAGCUAAGUUUAAAGGUCAUGCUUGGAGAAAUUCUAUAGUGGCAGUUUGUGAUGUGGCAGUAGUGACUGUUUGUGAUGUGGCAGGAGGCCGGGGUGAAUCUGGAGCGGAGAUCAAAGAGGCGGCAUUUGAGUGCCUUGUUGCAAUGGCAUCCACUUGUCAUACCAAAUUAGAACCAUACAAGGAAAUCAUGUUGAGUCUUACAUCCCAAGCUUUGGAAGGAGAUGUGGAAUCAGUUAAAGUCCAAUGUAUUAAGUUGUGGAUGACUAUUUGCCAAGAAGAGAUUAAUUGGGAAGAGGAGGAGGAGGAGGAAGAAGGAGAAGAAGAAGAAGAAGAAGAAGAAGAAGAAGAAGAAGAAGAAGAAGAAGGGGCAUCUAGCUUUAUUGAUACUCUCUGUUCAUUUGUUCCACUUCUCCUACGCACUUACUUAAAAGAAGAGGGAGAUUUAAAACAAGAGGACAUUUGGAAACAGGAAGAUGAGGGAGAUGGAGACAUUUCCAUGACUGCGGAACAAGAAGAAGAGGGAGAUGGAGACAUUUCCAUGACUGCGGAACAAGAAGAAGAGGGAGAUGAAAAUGUGGAACAAGAGGAAGAUGAGACUCUACAAGGCAUUUCCAUGACAUGCCUAGGCCUUGCAGCUCGAAUUAUGAAGGGUGGAAUUGUCCCCCUUGUGAUGCAUUUUGUUGUGGAAAACAUGAAUGGGCCACAUAAGGUAGCAGCAUUGUCUCCAUUAGGUUUUAUCCUUGAAGGUCCCUCUGUCAAGCAACUUGCUCCUGUGGUUGAUUUAUUGCUUACCAUGAUGGAAGAUGGGGAGGAAGGUGUAAGAGGCAAGGCUGCAUGGAGUCUUGGGCGGCUGUUUGAGCUUGUUGGUGCAAAUAGAAUUAUGAGAAAUAAAGUGGUGACCCUGGAUGGGAUCAUGAGGGUCUUGAUAGAGGGGAGCAAAGAUGUCCCUCAAGUGUCCACUGAAGUGCAUGGAGCUCUAUGUUUUCUUGCAAGAAGUUAUGGAGAUGAUGCAAAGUCAAAGUCAAACUUAUCUCAGCUUUCACCUUUUGUUCCGCCUGUUAUUGAUGCUCUCAUUUGUGCUUCAGAUCUGGCUAGGGAUACUCCUUAUAGGCUUCUUGCAUGUCCUUAUAAAGCAUUGAGUGAGAUUGUAAGAGUCAGUCACGUUCAAGACUUGCAAGUCUGUCGGGCACUUAUAGGUUUGAUGUCUCAUAUCAUGAGAAGAUUGAACACUGUGCUUCAUGGUCAUGGUGCAAUUUCAUCUCUUAAGAGGAAGAACCAACUUGAGGUCUUGCUGUGUGGUCUACUUAAUGUCUUAAUCCACAAGCUUGGAAGCAGCAAAAAUUUUACACUUAAGUGGUCUGCUAAAUGUGUGUUGCUGUUAUUGUGCCCUCUGUUGACCCGUGACAGUACUAGUGCACGUGAUGGAGCAGCCCUUGCCAUUGGUGCUCUUGCUCAUGCCAUUGGUGGUGAUUUUGGACAACACAUGCCUAUGCUGCUACAAUAUUUUAGUGUGAAGCGACUCUUUCCAGUUUAUCUAGAAGUGAUGUGUGAUAUUUGCCAAGUCUUGAGAAAAAAGGGGAAAAAGGAAGAAGUGGUGCCAUCCUUUGAUCAUAUUAUGGAUGUUCUGUGCGAAGGUAUGACAGAAGUGACACUUCAGCCUCCAAUUCUAUCAAGCAUUGGACAGAUUGCUCUUGCUCUUGCUCUUGGUGAGAAAUUUGAGAAAUACCUGCCUCUAGUUAUGGAAAAGCUUCUAGUUGUGGAAAAGCUUACUCAGGUCAAGUCAGAGGAACAGGAUGAGGAUCAUAGUACCAAAGUUAGGGAGGGAAUAUUUGAGGCCUACUAUGGCAUAAUAGGGGGUAUAACUGACCCAAGGUCUGGAUUCAAGGUAGGAUUGGCUCUACUUGACUUCAGUGAACAGGAGAGGAAGAGAAGGGACAGGGACGGAAGGACCUUGACAGCAGGAGUUCAUGCCUUGUCUCAGCUUCCUCCUAGAGUGGAGGUUUGGUCAGAGGGGUUUAUUCGAUUGAUGCAGGAAGCAAGUAUUUAUGGUCGAGUGCAGGUAACAGAAGGACAGCAGAAAGCAAGUAUUUAUGGUCGAGUGCAGGUAACAGAAGGACAGCAGAGUGGGGGCUUGAGGUAG
rnacentral:rRNA from 1 species